AGAUACCAGUUACUGAAGGAUUGACAGCAGCCUGAUUAUUGGUUCCCGGUCACUGCUAUCACAGAAAAUAGACUCAACUCAAAAGGGUUUACAGAAGCCGAUGUUUGAUCAAGGGCUCUGCUCAAGACACACUCUCCUCUGACUUUCCUUAUCGGAUAGGAACAGCUGCAUGGUCCAUUAGCAGUGAAAACAUCAGCCAGAAUAGCCAGAUGUGUUCGCUUGAACACACGUUAACAGAGCCAUUUGUGUCCCUUAGACUUCAUUGCACUUUAUUUCAUUGGUUCGUUUUAACCCAGCGAUUUGACAUUGCUUCUAAGGACUGCCUUUCCUGAAGCCAACAGACUGGUGUUUAAUGACUUCAGACACAAGGCCCUGAAGAGUUUUGAAAUACUGGAGUGAAGUUUUAUUUUGUUCUGUUCCCAGAUUUUCUUGCUAUCCCCAAUUCCAUAACUUGGAAAAUGUGAGCAGGGGUACAGACUUCAGUAGAUAAAGGGUGUGUGUGUAAGCUCGGUGGCUUACAGAUGUUUGCUAUCUGAAAUGCGUCAAUCUUGAUGACAUCUCAGUAUUCAGUGGAUAACAAAUGGACUGCGUCUGCCAUGGUGGCCCAAUCAUAUGUGGCACGGCCGUGCUUUGAAUGUGCAGCAAGGCAUAUCAGGUCGAAGCCAUCAAUCUUGUAUUGACCAGCUUCAUUAAAUAAAACAUGAGUUUCUUGUAUUCAGAUCACAUCGAUAAUAUGUUGAUCAGCAAGAUGGGCUGAUCACACUUGUUUCUCUUUUAAAAAAACUAGAUAAAAACAAACAAAAAAUCUUCCUUGACUUGUUUGAUCCAGAUUUGAUGCACGACCUCAAAACUUAUGUUAUCAUUGGGCUUCAAAUGGCACAGUCCGGGUAAGCUAAUGAUCCUCCUAGCAAACUGAAUCUGCAAGCUCAUACUUGAAGAAUCUCAGUAUCACCUCUUCUGGUAGCCCUAAGAACGUGCAGUCCUGCAGUUCCCAUACCAUCAGGCCCGCAUUCCGAGUCUUACAACUUAACAUUGAGGGUUUAUUGACAGCCAAGGGACAUUUAAAUCGUCCUGUCUUGCUGAUCAACAUAUUAUUCUGCUCCCCUACACUUUAUUGUGUCUCUAUACCUAUAGCUGUCAGGCUAUAGCUAAUGUUAUAAUUAAUCCAAGUUUUUGAUGAUCCCUGUCACUUGGCCAUGGUGAUAUCCCUUCAGGAGUCACCAUCUUCUUGAACUAGUCUUAUGGCUAAAGUGGAUAUUUGGGGGUUUGCUACAGCAGGUGGAUGAAGUACUCUUUGCUCAUGUUUAGUACCUAAAAGAGUUCUUGUGAGACCUCUGUUCCCUUAUCUCAGGAUCCUAUAUAUAACAUUCAGCACCACAAACAAAUUUUAUGUAGCUUCUGCUGCCAUCAUAAAUCCUUAUUUUAUAGUUUAUUGUGCAAAACAUCGGCCCAGUUAAUGCCAAUUCAGUUUACAAUACAAGAUGACAAAAAAUACCUGUAAUGAUCUACCUAAUGAUAGCAUCUCAUGAGAAAUUUUUAUGUUACGGCAAUAAAGUGCCUGUUUGUUUUAAUCUUU